rnacentral:rRNA from 1 species
GAUGAACGCUGGCGGCGUGCCUAACACAUGCAAGUCGAGCGAUUCUCUUCGGAGAAGAGCGGCGGACGGGUGAGUAACGCGUGGGUAACCUGCCCUGUACACACGGAUAACAUACCGAAAGGUAUGCUAAUACGGGAUAAUAUGCUUUUAUCGCAUGGUAGAAGUAUCAAAGCUUUUGCGGUACAGGAUGGACCCGCGUCUGAUUAGCUAGUUGGUAAGGUAACGGCUUACCAAGGCGACGAUCAGUAGCCGACCUGAGAGGGUGAUCGGCCACAUUGGAACUGAGACACGGUCCAAACUCCUACGGGAGGCAGCAGUGGGGAAUAUUGCACAAUGGGCGAAAGCCUGAUGCAGCAACGCCGCGUGAGCGAUGAAGGCCUUCGGGUCGUAAGCUCUGUCUCAAGAAGAUAAUAGACGGUACUUGAGGAGGAAGCCCGGCUAACUACGUGCCAGCAGCCGCGGUAAGAGUAGUACA